rnacentral:hammerhead_ribozyme from 1 species
GUACUGCUGACGAGUCAAAUACUAGGACGAAACGGCCGUCCAGUGC